UGCCAGCAGCCGCGGUAAUACGGAGGGUGCAAGCGUUAAUCGGAAUUACUGGGCGUAAAGCGUGCGUAGGCGGUUUGUUAAGCGAGAUGUGAAAUCCCGGGGCUCAACCUCGGAACUGCAUUUCGAACUGGCAGACUAGAAUUUUGUAGAGGGUGGUGGAAUUUCCAGUGUAGCGGUGAAAUGCGUAGAGAUUGGAAGGAACAUCGGUGGCGAAGGCGGCCACCUGGACAAGAAUUGACGCUGAGGCACGAAGGCGUGGGGAGCAAACAGGAUUAGAUA
rnacentral:rRNA from 1 species